UACGUAGGGCGCAAGCGUUGUCCGGAAUUAUUGGGCGUAAAGAGCUCGUAGGUGGCGUGUCGCGUCUGCCGUGAAAGCCCAUGGCUUAACUGUGGGUCUGCGGUGGAUACGGGCAGGCUGGAGGCUGGUAGGGGCAAGCGGAAUUCCUGGUGUAGCGGUGAAAUGCGCAGAUAUCAGGAGGAACACCGGUGGCGAAGGCGGUUCUCUGGGCCUUACCUGACGCUGAGGAGCGAAAGCGUGGGGAGCGAACAGG
rnacentral:rRNA from 1 species